rnacentral:lncRNA from 1 species
GAAUAAGAUCAAAGGCCUCAUAGGCGAGAUAGGAGGAGGAGAAAAAUGGGUAGGCAGAAGAGGAUGAGAGAGGAAGAGCACUCAUAAGUCAGCUUAGAGGAGGAAAAUGAUGAGGAGAAGUGAAUUAGAAAAAGAGAGGAGAGAGAAAGAGAGGUUGUCGGUAAGAGAAGAUGGAGAUGGAGGAAGAGAUGGGGAAGGAGAGGUGGGCGGGCUUAGAGGAAGAUGAGAAGAAGUAGGAGAGAAGAAAGAGGAGGAAUGGGAGGAGGGGGCAAGGAGGGCUUGCCAGUGAGAUAGGUGGAGGUGAAGAAAACCAUCAUAAAGGGAGAGAGCUCACAAGCAGACUUGAAAAAGGAGGAGGAAGAGAAGACGGAAGAGAAAUGGAUAAAGAGAAAGAAAAGGAAGGAGGGGUCAUGAUGAGCUUGGAGGAGGAGAAUGAGUAAAAAAACUGAUGAAGAAGAAGAGGAAGAGAAGGAGAGAUAGUCGAUAAGGAAGGAACGGAAGUGGUGGAAGCCACCGUAGAGAAAAACAUGGGCAUGCUUAGAAGAGAAGAAUCCAAAGAGGAGAAGUGGGAGAAGAGAAAAAAGAGGAGGGGGAAGGACUUAGAGGAGGUGGUGGAUGAUGAGGAGAAGAAGAGAAUGAGGAAGAGGA